UACCCGGGCAAGCCUCAGCCCAGCUACCCCGCUCAAUCCCGGCCCCAGCAGCCCAGCUACCUGGGCAAGCCUCAGCCCAGCUACCCCGCUCAACUCCAGCCCCAGCAGCCCAGCUACCCAGGCAAGCCCCAGCUUCAUCUCCAGGCCAGGCCAGAGCAGCCAAGUUUUGGCAUGACCCAACGCAAAGUUGGAAUGUGGGACUCUCGUCCUUCCCAGGACAGUGAUGCUUAUGACUCGAUAGAGAAGUCCACCAACUCUGAAAUUCAGCCAAGAUCUUAUGGCUCUCUGAGGUAUUGGGGCUAUAUUUAAAACCCCUGGUCCUGGUAUCUUCGUCAAUCCCAUGUUUGACUUUGGAUAUGCUUUCUGUUCCUGACUUCUUCCUGGAAGCUAUCCUGGCAUCAACUUUGUGAAAUUGAAUAAAGUACUUAGAACUGCA